rnacentral:lncRNA from 1 species
UCCCAAUAUUUAAUCAACCAUUAAUUCUUUGGUGUGAAUGAUAAUGCUAUCUUUAAUAGAUGUGUUUCAAUGUCACAGUGAUUAAUGUUAAAAAUUGGAAACUUUUCCCCCGAAUGAUCUGAAACUUUUUUUUUCUUUUUUCUUUUUCUUUUUUUUUUUCCUGAUCUCAAAAUCCAACAGUGAACAUUCAUUCACAGAGGGAGAAAACCUCAUCAGAAUGCUAACUGUUGUGAGCAACUCUGGGCCCUUAAAAGGAGCAAUAACUGGGGAUGCUAUUUUAUAAUCUUAAAAUAUUAAGGACCCCAAAAUAUUUUUUAUGAAUUAUAUCUAUCAAUAGUUACCAUAAUUGAAAUUAAAGCUGCUAUAAAGACACAUGCACACGUAUGUUUACAGCGGCACUAUUCACAAUAGCAAAGACUUGGAACCAACCCAAAUGUCCAUCAGUGAUAGACUGGAAUAAGAAAAUGCAGCACAUAUACACCAUGUAAUACUAUGCAGCCAUAAAAAAAGGAUGAUUUCAUGUCGUUUGUAGGGACAUGGAUGAACCUGGAAACCAUCAUUCUCAGCAAACUAUCGCAGGGACAAAAAACUAAACACCACAUGUUCUCACUCAUAGGUGGGAAUUGAACAAUGAGAACACUUGGACAUAGGAAGGGGAACAUCACACACCGGGGCCUGUCUUGCGGUGGGAGGAGGGGGGAGGGAUAGUAUUAGGAGAUAUGCCUAAUGUAAAUGACGAGUUUAUGGGUGCAGCACACCAACAUGGCACAUGUUUACAUAUGUAACAAACCUGCACAUUGUGCACAUAUACCCUAGAACUUAAAGUAUAAUAAUAAUAAUAAUAAUAAUAAUAAUAAUAAUAAUAAAAAGAAAAAUGAUAAAACCACCACUUCUAAAUUUGGAUAACUGGAAUAUAUUCAACACCCUUAUCAUAUAUUUGCAAAACAAUUUACUAGAAACAUAUUCAUACCAUUUUUCGUAGAUGGUUGGAAUCUCAGUUUCUUCUUCAUACAAAAGAUUAAUUCAUAAUGUAUAUUUUGUGAUGUAGGCUGUGUGUUUAUGUUAUAAAAAGUAAAAUCAUAAACAGAUUUUUAAAAAUUUCAGUCUAGCUUUACAGUCAAAGUGAAUAUUACCUUGAAGGUUUCUUAUGAUUUAUUCAUUUAAGAUAAAGUUACUUUUCCAGCAACAACUAUGAGAACUACAAUGAGAUAUUUUUCUGUGCCAGGUAUGCUACUAGGUACUAGAUUUUACAUAUGUGUUUUAACCUAAGUCUCACCAAUACCCUUAUGAAUUAUGGGGAAAAUAUCUGUUUUUACAAGAGAACUUUGAGCCCCAAAGUAUUUGAAAAGAACUUCCCUGCAGCAACACAUUUUAAAAAGUGUUGAAAGAAGGCAUGAAGCUAACUUUCCUCAAUAUCAAGACCCUCACUCUUUCCUCUAAACUAUUCUAUCUUUACUUGCAAAGCACUUUGCUCUGUGCCCUGGAGGAACCAAAAGGAAAUAGGAUGCUACUUAGAAGUAAUUUACAAUCACAUGUAGAGAAAAUGAAAAAGUACCCAACCAAAUAGAAGGGACUCUGAAGUAUGAGAUAGUAUAUGACAAUUGAUAGUAUAACUGCGAGGUAGUUUCAAGAGUGAAACUUCGAUCCUCUUACGUAGAUCAAAGAAGUUUUUAUGGACACUCUUCCAUUGGUGAUGGACUUUGAGCAAUCGUAAUAAAUUGCAUUGUUAGAGGUACAAAGAAUUGUUCAGGAAAAGAGAAUGAUGGGAUCAAAUCUAGGAGGCAGCAGUAUUAGGAAUAUAGAAUGUUCAAUUGGGCUAGUACCUACAAUAGGUAUAGAAAAUGAUCACACACACAAAAAAUUUUAAUGUAGUUUAUACCUGGAUUAUAGAGGCCCUAGACUCCUGGGCUUAGAAAUGUAGAAUUUAUUCCAAAUUUACAAUGAAGAAAUAGUCAGUGUUUCUCACAUAUAUGGCCCAAUCAUUUUAAAGUUUGGAAAAUUUAAUGUCAGUGGACAUAAAAAGGAAGAAUGACAAGUCAGAAAAGGGCCUGUUGGGGAGUGAAUGCAAUGGUUUAGAGGAGAAACAGUAAAAGCCUACAUGACUUAAAACAAAAUUAGGGUCCGGGACAAGUAAUACUGAUUAGUCAAAGUAGAAUUCAAAGUUUUUUGUCUAAGUGACUAAAGAGUGGAAGUCAGAUGGCAAGAGUAGAAUCCCCUCUUGGGAUAUGGAGAGGGUGGAGGGAUAAGGGCAAGAAGAAGUUUAUGAUAUGAAGAUCAGUUGUAAACUUGUGCAGACAAAGGGCGAAGUUAGGAAUUGAAUGUGACUGGAGCUGAAAAAAUAGGUUAAGCUUCAGAAGAAUUUUGGGUCUUAUCCACAAAGAAGUAGAUAAUGUAGAUAACAAAACUGGAUGGCCCCACUGAGGAAUAGCACAGAAGAGUAGGAAAGAGAGCUGAGGUUGGAAGAAUUCAACCUCUAGGGAAAAACAGCAGAAGCCCAGUACUGAGCAAAUAGACUGAAAAAAAAAAAAAUCCUA